rnacentral:rRNA from 1 species
UGCCUCAGUAACGGCGAGUGAAGCGGCAAAAGCUCAAAUUUGAAAUCUGGCUCUUUUAGGGUCCGAGUUGUAAUUUGUAGAAGAUGUUUCGGGUGUGGCUCCGGUUUAAGUUCUUUGGAAUAUUACAUCAUAGAGGGUGAGAAUCCCGUAUGUGACCGGCAGCCUUCGCCUAUGUGAAACUCUUUCGACGAGUCGAGUUGUUUGGGAAUGCAGCUCAAAAUGGGAGGUAUAUUUCUUCUAAAGCUAAAUAUUGGCCAGAGACCGAUAGCGCACAAGUAGAGUGAUCGAAAGAUGAAAAGCACUUUGGAAAGAGAGUUAAACAGUACGUGAAAUUGUUGAAAGGGAAGCGCUUGCAACCAGACUUGCACGCAGUUGAUCAUCCGGUGUUCUCACCGGGGCACUCUGCUGCGUUCAGGCCAGCAUCGGUUUUGGUGGUUGGAUAAAGGCCUUGGGAAUGUGGCUUCCUUCGGGGAGUGUUAUAGCCCUCGGUGCAAUGCAGCCUACCGGGACCGAGGACCGCGCUUCGGCUAGGAUGCUGGCGUAAUGGUUGUAAGCGACCCGUCUUGAAACACGGACCAAGGAGUCUAACAUCUAUGCGAGUGUUUGGGUGUUAAACCCAUACGCGUAAUGAAAGUGAACGGAGGUGAGAACCCUUAAGGGUGCAUCAUCGACCGGUCCUGAUGUCUUCGGAUGGAUCUGAGUAAGAGCAUAGCUGUUGGGACCCGAAAGAUGGUGAACUAUGCGUGAAUAGGGUGAAGCCAGAGGAAACUCUGGUGGAGGCUCGCAGCGGUUCUGACGUGCAAAUCGAUCGUCAAAUUUGCGCAUAGGGGCGAAAGACUUAUCGAACCAUUGAACACCUACUAG